rnacentral:rRNA from 1 species
AUUGAACGCUGGCGGAAUGCUUUACACAUGCAAGUCGAACGGCAGCACGGACUUCGGUCUGGUGGCGAGUGGCGAACGGGUGAGUAAUGUAUCGGAACGUGCCCAGUCGUGGGGGAUAACGUAGUGAAAAUUACGCUAAUACCGCAUACGAUCUAUGGAUGAAAGCGGGGGAUCGCAAGACCUCGCGCGAUUGGAGCGGCCGAUAUCAGAUUAGGUAGUUGGUGGGGUAAAGGCCCACCAAGCCAACGAUCUGUAGCUGGUCUUAGAGGACGACCAGCCACACUGAGACUGAGACACGGUCCAGACUACUACGGGAAGCAGCAGUGGGGAAUUUUGGACAAUGGGCGAAAGCCAGAUCCAGCCAUUCCGCGUGCAGGAUGAAGGCCCUCGGGUUGUAAACUGCUUUUGUACAGAACGAAAAGGUUUCUACUAAUACUAGGAGCUCAUGACGGUACUGUAAGAAUAAGCACCGGCUAACUACGUGCCAGCCGCCGCGGUAA